rnacentral:rRNA from 1 species
GACGAACGCCGGCGGCGUGCCUAAUACAUGCAAGUAGAACGCUGAAGGAGGAGCUUGCUUCUCCGGAUGAGUUGCGAACGGGUGAGUAACGCGUAGGUAACCUGCCUGGUAGCGGGGGAUAACUAUUGGAAACGAUAGCUAAUACCGCAUAAUAGCAGUUGUUGCAUGACAUUUGCUUAAAAGGUGCAAUUGCAUCACUACCAGAUGGACCUGCGUUGUAUUAGCUAGUUGGUGGGGUAACGGCUCACCAAGGCGACGAUACAUAGCCGACCUGAGAGGGUGAUCGGCCACACUGGGACUGAGACACGGCCCAGACUCCUACGGGAGGCAGCAGUAGGGAAUCUUCGGCAAUGGACGGAAGUCUGACCGAGCAACGCCGCGUGAGUGAAGAAGGUUUUCGGAUCGUAAAGCUCUGUUGUAAGAGAAGAAACGAGUGUGAGAAGUGGAAAGUUUCACACUGUGACGGAUUUUACC